rnacentral:rRNA from 1 species
UACAGAGAGUGCAAACGUUGUUCGGAAUUACUGGGCUUAAAGCGCACGUAGGCGGCUCCGCAAGUGUCGGGUGAAAUCCCACGGCUUACCCGUGGAACUGCCCGGCAGACUGCGGAGCUCGAGGAUGGUAGGGGAGAGCGGAACUCCUGGUGGAGCGGUGAAAUGCGUAGAUAUCAGGAGGAACACCGGUGGCGAAGGCGGCUCUCUGGUCCAUUUCUGACGCUGAGGUGCGAAAGCGAGGGGAGCAAACGGG